UUUAAAGGGUACGUAGGCGGUAUUGUAAGUCAGUGGUGAAAAGCUAUAGCUCAACUAUGGUCGUGCCAUUGAAACUGCAGUACUUGAGUGCGGAUGAGGUAGGCGGAAUGUGUUAUGUAGCGGUGAAAUGCAUAGAUAUAACACAGAACACCGAUUGCGAAGGCAGCUUACCAAGCCGUAACUGACGCUGAUGUACGAAAGCGUGGGUAGCGAACAGGAUUAGAUACCCUGGUAGUCCACGCCGUAAACGAUGAUAACUGGUUGUUGGCGAUACAUUGUCAGUGACUGAGCGAAAGCAUUAAGUUAUCCACCUGGGGAGUACGUCGGCAACGAUGAAACUCAAAGGAAUUGACGGGGGCCCGCACAAGCGGAGGAACAUGUGGUUUAAUUCGAUGAUACGCGAGGAACCUUACCUGGACUUAAAUGUAGAUUGCAUAGCCUAGAGAUAGACUUUUCCUUCGGGACUAUUUACAAGGUGCUGCAUGGUUGUCGUCAGCUCGUGCCGUGAGGUGUCGGGUUAAGUCCCAUAACGAGCGCAACCCCUAUCGUUAGUUGCUAACAGGUCAUGCUGAGGACUCUAGCGAGACUGCCACCGUAAGGUGCGAGGAAGGUGGGGAUGACGUCAAAUCAGCACGGCCCUUACGUCCAGGGCUACACACGUGUUACAAUGGCAGGUACAAAGGGCAGCUACACAGCGAUGUGAUGCUAAUCUCUAAAGCCUGUCUCAG
rnacentral:rRNA from 1 species